UACGCAGGAUGCGAGCGUUAUCCGGAUUUAUUGGGUUUAAAGGGUGCGUAGGCGGACUGUCAAGUCAGCGGUAAAAUUGAGAGGCUCAACCUCUUCCCGCCGUUGAAACUGGUGGUCUUGAGUGGAUGAGAAGUACGCGGAAUGCGUGGUGUAGCGGUGAAAUGCAUAGAUAUCACGCAGAACUCCGAUUGCGAAGGCAGCGUACCGGCAUCCAACUGACGCUGAGGCACGAAAGCGUGGGGAUCAAACAGG
rnacentral:rRNA from 1 species